GAUGAACGCUGGCGGCGUGCCUAAUACAUGCAAGUCGAGCGAACAGACGAGGAGCUUGCUCCUCUGACGUUAGCGGCGGACGGGUGAGUAACACGUGGAUAACCUACCUAUAAGACUGGGAUAACUUCGGGAAACCGGAGCUAAUACCGGAUAAUAUAUUGAACCGCAUGGUUCAAUAGUGAAAGACGGUUUUGCUGUCACUUAUAGAUGGAUCCGCGCCGCAUUAGCUAGUUGGUAAGGUAACGGCUUACCAAGGCAACGAUGCGUAGCCGACCUGAGAGGGUGAUCGGCCACACUGGAACUGAGACACGGUCCAGACCCCUACGGGAGGCAGCAGUAGGGAAUCUUCCGCAAUGGGCGAAAGCCUGCCGGAGCAACGCCGCGUGCGUGAUGAAGGUCUUCGGAUCGUAAAACUCUGUUAUUAGGGAAGAACAAAUGUGUAAGUAACUAUGCACGUCUUGACGGUACCUAAUCAGAAAGCCACGGCUAACUACGUG
rnacentral:rRNA from 1 species